CCCCUGCCAGCUUGAUAAGUGGUAUCAUAACAGAAAAGGUAUGAAUCCUUCUGCAACUUUGAUUGGAAAUGUUCACAACAUUUGGUGGAUUUUGUAUGAUCAUUUGCAUCUCUGAGCAGGGUGUCAUCACAAAGACGGGCAUGGAUGAUUUUGACAUAAAGGAUUUCAUAAAUAAGGCUGGAUGAUUUUGACAUAAAGGAUUUCAUAAAUAAGGCUGUCGGCCAGUGCAUUGCGUAAGAGGCCAAUGUAGUGAACAAGGUUUUGGUUGGUAAUUUGAAGAGCUAUCUGCCUGCAUUGUAUUCAAGCUUCUAUGAUUACAGACCCAUCUG
rnacentral:lncRNA from 1 species